UACGGGGGGGGCAAGCGUUGUUCGGAAUUACUGGGCGUAAAGGGCUCGUAGGUGGCCAACUAAGUCAGACGUGAAAUCCCUCGGCUUAACCGGGGAACUGCGUCUGAUACUGGAUGGCUAGAGUUUGGGAGAGGGAUGCGGAAUUCCUGGUGUAGCGGUGGAAUGCGCAGAUAUCAGGAGGAACACCGGUGGCGAAGGCGGGUCUUUGGGCAGUAACUGACGCUGAGGAGCGAAAGCGUGGGGAGCGAACAGG
rnacentral:rRNA from 1 species